UACGUAGGUGGCAAGCGUUGUCCGGAUUUAUUGGGUUUAAAGGGUGCGUAGGCGGUGUCCUAAGUCAGUUGUGAAAUACGGCAGCUUAACUGUCGAGGUGCAAUUGAUACUGGGACACUUGAGUACUGAUGAGGUAUGCGGAAUGGACGGUGUAGCGGUGAAAUGCUUAGAUAUCGUCCAGAACACCGAUAGCGAAGGCAGCAUACUAAGGAGUAACUGACGCUGAGGCACGAAAGUGUGGGGGAUCAAACAGG
rnacentral:rRNA from 1 species